ensembl:miRNA MIR3943 microRNA 3943
CACACAGACGGCAGCUGCGGCCUAGCCCCCAGGCUUCACUUGGCGUGGACAACUUGCUAAGUAAAGUGGGGGGUGGGCCACGGCUGGCUCCUACCUGGAC